GCAAGAAAUAAGUAUUGAAAUAAAAAAUAUAAAGUGAGAAAUGUGCAUUAAAAUUAUGUAUAGCAUAAUCACAUUUAUUUAAGAAUGGAUUCCAAGAUCAAAGGCAAAUUCAACAAUGCAAAAGCUGCAAUUACUUUUGUAC